UACAGAGGUCUCAAGCGUUGUUCGGAUUCAUUGGGCGUAAAGGGCGCGUAGGCUGCGGGGCAAGUCGGGUGUGAAAUCUCAGAGCUCAACUCUGAAACUGCACUCGAUACUGCUUUGCUUGAGGACUGGGAGAGGAGAUUGGAAUUCACGGUGUAGCAGUGAAAUGCGUAGAUAUCGUGAGGAAGACCAGUGGCGAAGGCGGAUCUCUGGACAGUUCCUGACGCUGGAGGCGCGAAGGCCAGGGGAGCAAACGGG
rnacentral:rRNA from 1 species